rnacentral:miRNA from 1 species
CCUGGUGGGUGGGGAAGAGC